UUAAGUUGGAGUAGGGUACUAUAAAUUGGAGUUCAGCAUAUGCAACUUUUAGUAGGAUCCAAACAUGGUUCAAUACAAGCUAAUAAUAAUCACUUUUAUGCUUAUUUUGCUGCUGUCUGCGCCUUCUUAUCUCGCUGCAGCAGCAGCAUCAUCUUCUGGGAAUGAAUUUAAUAAUAGACUAAUAACGUCAUUGGGAAGAAAACUGCUUCAAGAUUAUUGCAUUGAUUUGUGUGUAUGGGAUUGGAAUUGCGAGCAGUCCCCUUGUGGAAGGGUUUGUGAUUAUAUGUCUGGCUUUGGUCCUAGUUAUGGCAUUUGUGUAUACGUACAGUAAUUGUCAUGGUUCUUAAAAAAUGGUGCUUAAUUUUUAUCUAUCACUACUAUUUCUUAAAUAAAGAAUGAUGUAUGUACUUAGUAUUUGUAUGAAUAUAAAACUUGUAAUUUAUGCCUGCUUAUUAGCUUGUGUAAUAAUAUAAGAUGAUGAUGUCAGGUACUUUGUUCUUUUAAUCAAUAUAAUGUAUUAAAUUAAGA